rnacentral:rRNA from 1 species
AGUGAACGCUGGCGGUAGGCCUAACACAUGCAAGUCGAACGGCAGCACACUAAGAGCUUGCUCUUACGGGUGGCGAGUGGCGGACGGGUGAGGUAUAUAUCGGAAUCUACUUUUUCGUGGGGGAUAACGUAGGGAAACUUACGCUAAUACCGCAUACGACCUACGGGUGAAAGCAGGGGAUCUUCGGACCUUGCGCGAUUGAAUGAGCCGAUGUCGGAUUAGCUAGUGGGCGGGGUAAAGGCCCACCAAGGCGACGAUCCGUAGCUGGUCUGAGAGGCUGAUCGCCGACACUAGAAGGGAAACACGGACAAGACGACUGCGGGAGGGAGCAGAGGGGUACGGUAGGCAAUAGGCGCGAACAUGGUACAGCGGUCGCGCGUGGGUGAAGGCGGCCUUGGGGUUGGAAAGACCUUUUGUUGGGAGAGAAAAGCUGCCGCUUGAGACGACGCGGGUCUGACGGUACUCGAUAAAGAAGCACCGGCUAACUACGUG